CGGCUUCCUACGGGAGGCAGCAGUAGGGAAUCUUGCGCAAUGGGCGAAAGCCUGACGCAGCGACACCGUGUGAAGGAUGAAGGUCUUCGGAUCGUAAACUUCUGUCAAUUGGGGACGAAGGUAGGCAGAGUUAAUACCUCGAAUACUGACGGUACCCAAUAAGGAAGUCUCGGCUAACUCCGUGCCAGCAGCCGCGGUAAGACGGAGGAGGCAAGCGUUGUCCGGAAUCAUUGGGCGUAAAGAGCGCGUAGGCUGUUUUUUAAGUCAUAUGUGAAAACCUCAGGCUUAACUUGAGGACUGCAUAUGAAACUGGAAAACUUGAGUGCAGUAGGGGAAAGUGGAAUUCCUGGUGUAGCGGUGAAAUGCGCAGAUAUCAGGAAGAACACCGGUAGCGAAGGCGGCUUUCUGGGCUGCUACUGACGCUGAGGCGCGAAAGCUAGGGGAGCAAACAGGAUUAGAUACCC
rnacentral:rRNA from 1 species